GUAAAUAAUAAAGGGCGUAUGGUGGAUGCCUAGGCUCUCAGAGGCGAUGAAGGACGUGAUAAGCUGCGAAAAGCUCCGUUUAGGUGCAAAUAACCUUUGAUGCGGAGAUCUCCGAAUGGGAUAACCCAAUAUGUUGAAGACAUAUUAUACCGUAAGGUAGGCAAACGCAGGGAACUGAAACAUCUAAGUACCUGCAGGAGAAGAAAACAAACGUGAUUCCCCCAGUAGCGGCGAGCGACCGGGGAUAAGCCCAAACCGUUAUUGUUUCGGCAGUAGCGGGGUAGUAGGACUGCAAUAUUGAUGUAAUAAAUGAAAUGGAAUACAUUGGAAAAUGUGAUCAUAGAGGGUGAUAAUCCCGUACAUGUAAGUUUAUGAAUCAUAGCAGAAUCCUGAGUAAGUCGGGACACGUGUAAUCCUGACCGAAUCCGCCGGGACCAUCCGGCAAGGCUAAAUACUCCUGAGAGACCGAUAGUGAACCAGUACCGUGAGGGAAAGGUGAAAAGCACUUCGAACAGAAGAGUGAAAUAGUCCCUGAACCCAUACGCCUACAAGCAGUCGGAGCCGCUUCGUGCGGUGACGGCGUGCCUUUUGCAUAAUGAGCCUACGAGUUACUCAUCACCAGCGAGGUUAAGUACUUCAGGUACGUAAGCCGAAGCGAAAGCGAGUCUGAAUAGGGCGUCAAGUUGGUGGUGGUAGACGCGAAACCUUAGUGAUCUACCCAUGGGCAGGGUGAAGGUUUGGUAACACAAACUGGAGGCCCGAACCGGUAAACGUUGAAAAGUUUUCGGAUGACCUGUGGGUAGGGGUGAAAGGCCAAUCAAACUGGGAAAUAGCUCGUACUCUCCGAAAUGCAUUUAGGUGCAGCCUCUGUUGUUUUGUUCUAGAGGUAGAGCUACUGAUUGGAUGCGAGGGCUUCACCGCCUAUCAAAUCCGGCCAAACUCCGAAUGCUAGAACAUAAAGACAGGGAGUGAGCCAGCGGGUGCUAAGGUCCGUUGACGAAAGAGGGAGAACUCAGACCAUCAGCUAAGGUCCCCAAUUAUAUGCUAAGUUGGAAUAAAAACGGGGUGGGACUGCUUAGACAGCUAGGAUGUUGGCUUGGAAGCAGCCAUUCAUUUAAAGAGUGCGUAACAGCUCACUAGUCGAGCGGUCCUGCAUGGAUAAUACGCGGGCAUAAGCAUAUAACCGAAGCUAUGGGAUUGUAGAUGAUACAAUCGGUAGGAGAGCAUUCCAUUCAGCAUAGAAGCAGUACCGUGAGGUAUUGUGGAGCGGAUGGAAAAGCAAAUGUAGGCAUAAGUAACGAUAAUGCGGGUGAGAACCCCGCACGCCGAAAGAUCAAGGAUUCCCCGGCAAUGUCAAUCAUCCGGGGGUAAGUCGGAUCCUAAGGGUAAGCCGAGUGGCGAUCCCGAUGGUAAACAGGUUAAUAUUCCUGUACUGAUCAUAACUGCGAUGCAGCGACGCAGAGGUGACACUGCUGCGUACUGACGGAAUAGUACGUUGAAACCCGUAUUCUUUGAUACCGGUAGUGAAGCACGCCGGUAGAGAUGAAAGGUGAUAGUACCGCAAUGCUUCGGUUGCGCGGAUAACGCAGGUAAGCUGACUGCCAAGAAAACCUGCUAAGCUUCAGGUAAUGAUCAUCCGUACUGUAAACGGACACACGUGAUCAGGUAGAAAAUACUAAGGCGCUCGAGAGAUUCAUGGUUAAGGAACUAGGCAAAAUGGUCCUGUAACUUCGGGAUAAAGGACGCUCUUGUGAAAGAGCCGCAGAUAAUAGGCCCAGGCGACUGUUUACCAAAAACACAUGGCUAUGCUAAUUCGCAAGAAGAUGUAUAUGGCCUGACACCUGCCCGGUGCUGGAAGGUUAAGAGGAGAGUUCAGAAGUAAUUCGAAGAUUUGAAUUGAAGCCCCAGUAAACGGCGGCCGUAACUAUAACGGUCCUAAGGUAGCGAAAUUCCUUGUCGGGUAAGUUC
rnacentral:rRNA from 1 species